GGCUCGGUGGUGGAUGGUUCACACCUGUGUUGAAUAAGGAAAAGGGAGAAGUAAGCAGGAGGAGCCCGUUCGAUUCGGGCCCGAGCCA